rnacentral:rRNA from 1 species
UACGAAGGGGGCUAGCGUUGUCCGGAUUCAUUGGGCGUAAAGAGCUCGUAGGCGGCUUGGCAAGUCGGGUGUGAAAACUCCAGCUCAACCUGGAGACGCCACCCGAUACUGCCAUGGCUAGAGUCCGGUAGGGGACCACGGAAUUCCUGGUGUAGCGGUGAAAUGCGUAGAUAUCAGGAGGAACACCUGCGGUGUAGACGGCUUACUGGACCGUAACUGACGCUGAGGCACGAAAGCGUGGGUAGCAAACAGG